AGAUACCCUGGUAGUGCACGCUGUAAACGAUGUCGAUUUGGAGUUUGUUGCCUAGAGUGAUGGGCUCCGAAGCUAACGCGAUAAAUCGACCGCCUGGGGAGUACGGCCGCAAGGUUAAAACUCAAAUGAAUUGACGGGGGCCCGCACAAGCGGUGGAGCAUGUGGUUUAAUUCGAUGCAACGCGAAGAACCUUACCUGGUCUUGACAUCCAUAGAAUUCUGCAGAGAUGUGGGAGUGCCUUCGGGAACUAUGAGACAGGUGCUGCAUGGCUGUCGUCAGCUCGUGUUGUGAAAUGUUGGGUUAAGUCCCGCAACGAGCGCAACCCUUAUUCUUUGUUGCCAGCGAUUUGGUCGGGAACUCAAAGGAGACUGCCGUUGAUAAAGCGGAGGAAGGUGGGGACGACGUCAAGUCAUCAUGGCCCUUACGACCAGGGCUACACACGUGCUACAAUGGCGUAUACAAAGGGAAGCGAAGGUGCGAGCUGGAGCGGAUCUCAUAAAGUACGUCUAAGUUCGGAUUGGAGUCUGCAACUCGACUCCAUGAAGUCGGAAUCGCUAGUAAUCGUAGAUCAGAAUGCUACGGUGAAUACGUUCCCGGGCCUUGUACACACCGCCCGUCACACCAUGGGAGUGGGUUGCACCAGAAGUAGAUAGCUUAACCGCGAGGGGGGCGUUUACCACGGUGUGAUUCAUGACUGGGGUGAAGUCGUAACAAGGUAACCA
rnacentral:rRNA from 1 species